rnacentral:rRNA from 1 species
UGCCUUACACAUGCAAGUCGAACGGCAGCACGGGAGCAAUCCUGGUGGCGAGUGGCGAACGGGUGAGUAAUAUAUCGGAACGUGCCCAGUCGUGGGGGAUAACGUAGCGAAAGCUACGCUAAUACCGCAUACGAUCUACGGAUGAAAGCGGGGGAUCGCAAGACCUCGCGCGAUUGGAGCGGCCGAUAUCAGAUUAGGUAGUUGGUGAGGUAAAGGCUCACCAAGCCGACGAUCUGUAGCUGGUCUGAGAGGACGACCAGCCACACUGGGACUGAGACACGGCCCAGACUCCUACGGGAGGCAGCAGUGGGGAAUUUUGGACAAUGGGCGCAAGCCUGAUCCAGCAAUGCCGCGUGCAGGAUGAAGGCCUUCGGGUUGUAAACUGCUUUUGUACGGAACGAAACGGUGAGCUCUAAUACAGUUUGCUAAUGACGGUACCGUAAGAAUAAGCACCGGCUAACUCUGUG